rnacentral:misc_RNA from 1 species
AUCAAUAUUUUUUAUUUUUUCUUUAGAAAAUGAUAAAUUUCAAUACUUCAUUAGAAAUAAAUAAUGUCUGAUAUUAAUUUAAAUAACUACAACAGUGAUACAGAGAGCUCAGAAGAUGAAAUAGAACCAAAAUUGAAAUAUGUGAGAUUAUCUAAUGAUGUACAAAACAUACUAUUGGCCUCCUCAGCAACAUAUAUAGCAGUGCACCCAAAAUUUAUUUGUUUGGGAUCACAUUGGGGAGUGAUCCAUAUCUUAGACCACCAAGGUAACAGUAUACAGGGAAAGGAAUUGAAGGCACAUACAGUUAGUGUUAAUCAGAUUUCUAUAGAUUCCAAUGGAGAGUUUGUUGCAACUUGUUCGGAUGAUGGAAAAGUAUUCAUCCAUAGUUUAUUCUCGAAGGAGAAUGAUGUUCAACUCAAUCUUGGAAGGCUCUUGAAAACUGUUUCUCUAGAUCCCUUAUAUUUCAAAUUUGGAAUUAAUAAGAGGUUUAUUACAGGAGAUGACAAGCUGACACUCUAUGAACGCACAUUUCUUGGCAACCUUAAGUCUACAGUACUAUGUGAAAGUGAAGGACUUGUUAGAAGCCUUUGUUGGGGUGAAAACUUUUUGGCUUGGUCCAGUAAUAUUGGUGUUAGGGUCUAUGACAUGAAUGCUAGAUGUUCUUUAGGACUCAUCAAAUGGGAAGACCAUCCAGGAAUUUCAAUAGACAAGUUUAGGUGCAAUCUAAGGUGGGCGGAUAGUAGAACACUGUUAAUUGGAUGGGUAGAUACAGUAAGAGUCUGUGUGAUAAGAAAACGAAGCAAUAUAGAACUGGCAAAUAGAGAUUUACCAGAGUAUUUAGUUGAUCCAGUAUCCACUUUUCAAACAGAAUUUUAUAUAAGCGGAAUUGCACCCUUAGACCAGCAACUUGUUUUAUUGGGCUUUCCAAAAGAAUUAGAUGAACAUCAAAAGAGCUUACGUCCUCAACUGUACAUAGUCGAGUAUAGAGACAAUGACUAUACUGACAUUUGUACAGACAGUUUAUCGUUAAGGGGCUAUGAAGAGUACAGUGCGAAUGAUUAUCAUCUGGAUGUACUUUUGGAAGAAAACCGAUUUUUCAUUGUAGCACCUAAAGAUGUAGUCGUAGCAAGUCCUUAUGAUUUAGAUGAUCGGAUCCAGUGGUUUAUUCAGCACAAUAAAUUUGAUGAAGCUCUGGAUAUUUUAAUGCAGAACUCUAGAAAUAUAUACAGGCAUACCGUCCAAUCUGUAGGUAUAGAUUAUUUGGAUCAUUUGCUCAGCAGGGGGAUGUAUGAUAAUGCAGGUAGAUUGGGAUUAAGAAUAUUCGGAAAGAAUCCAGCUUUAUGGGAGGAUCAAAUCUACAAAUUUGCCAGUGUACAUCAGCUGAGGUCCGUCAGUCCUUACAUUCCUCGAAGUGUUGAAUCAAAACUGAAUCCUCACAUUUACGAAAUGAUCUUAUAUGAGUACCUGAAACUAGAUGCACAUGGUUUCUUAAAUUUAGUAAAAGAGUGGGAUUCCGGUCUUUAUAAUAUCGCAGCUGUGAUUAAUGCCGUUUUGGAGCAUUUGCUUAACUGCGAGAUAGACAAAAAUCUAUAUUUAGAAGCUUUAGCCAUCCUGUACAGCUACGAGAAGAAAUACGACAAGAGUUUAUCUAUGUACCUUAAGUUAAAACAUAAAGAUGUUUUUGUAUUAAUUCAAAAACACAAUCUCUAUAGUGUGAUUCAAGAUAUGUUGCUAGAUCUGAUGGACUUAGAUCACAAGAAAACUAUUGAUCUUCUGUUACAGAAAAAUACUAUAUCCUCAGACAAGAUAGUGGAGAAAUUAAAGGAAAACCCGCUACAUCUUUACAGGUAUUUAGAUGAAUACGAUAAGAAAAAUCCUAAAGGAAGGUAUCACAAAGAACUAGUACAGUUAUAUGCCGUGUUUGCUAAAGAUAAGUUGUUAGCCUUUUUAAAAAAAUCUGAUCAUUAUCCGAUUCAAGAAGCUUUGGAUAUUUGUCAAAAAGAGAAAUAUUAUCCUGAAAUGGUAUACCUGCUAGGAAGGAUAGGUGAUACAAAGGAAGCCUUAGCCUUAAUAGUAGAUGAACUGAAGGAUAUGCAACAUGCUGUUGCUUUUUGUCAAGAACAUGAUGAUUCUGAUUUGUGGGAAGAUCUUAUCGAUAGAUGUGUUACUGAACCAGAAUUUGUGACAUUUUUAUUGCAAAGUAUUGGGUCAUACGUAGAUCCUACUAUGCUGAUUUUAAAAAUCAAGAAAGACACCCAAAUUCCAGGCCUUAAGAAUUCCUUGGUUAAAAUGUUAAACCAAUAUAAUUUACAGGUUUCUGUACAAGAAGGAUGUAAGAAAAUUUUAGUUUCUGAUUACUUUAAUCUACAAAAGAAACUUGUAAACGUUCAUCAGAGAGGUCUAGCUGUGAUGGAGGAUUUGGUUUGCGCGUGCUGUACUAGAAAAAUAGUUGAGAGAGACCCAUCUCGAGCUGUAGAUAUUGCCGUUUAUAAUUGCAAGCAUACUUUUCAUUUGCAGUGUAUACCUGAAAAUAUGACUAAAUGUGGAAUUUGUUACACAACAGAGCAAAAGUAAUAAAACGUAUGAAAAUUCCUGUUCACCCAAGCCGUUAUCCGGGAGCCGCCGUUGAAUCCUGAGUUGAACUGUGACGAAACAUGCACCGUAAACUUUGUAGCGUUCGCCAUCAUUUCCUCCUUCAAGGACUUUUCGUAUUCGAUGAGAGUUUUCCGCAGCUGCUCUUCUACCUCGUCCAGCUCAACGAGCUUUGCGUUGGGUUUCUUAAUCAACGGCCCAGCAACUAAAACCAUUUCAGACAUUAUAGAUCGACCGUUUGUCUUUAUUGAGUUAAAAGUUGUGUGUAUUCCUAGAAAUGAGUAAGGUACAACACAGUUAGGUAUCUUGAAGUAUAUAUUUAUAUGAAUCUGCAAUCGAUUAAUGAAACAGAGAAUGAACAAUAAAAAAUAUGUAAGCUAUACACAAUGUAUUUUGAAUUAAAGUUGACUCUAAGUAUGAUAUGUGUAAUUUUUAUAGUUUACUUUAUUAAUCAUUUCUACUUAAUUUAUUGUUAUGUUCUUAUUUCUACUCUUUAUUAAGCAUCUUUUCAAUGUUUUACUGCACACAUUCUACACCGGUAAUAAGUGCUAUAUUCUUUUGGAUUUACUUUAAAGGUUCUAUAUGUUUAUUUAUAUCAAUUUAAAGCUUUAAGUUGCAAACAAUUCGUCUACCCUUCUAGUCUAUUUCGUGAAUAUCUGGUGCUUAAGGUUUCUUUGUAUUGUACGAGGGUUAUUCAUAAAAAAGAUCCCCUAUGCCGCUGAAAAAGAGUGCGACGUGUUGGAAGAAAUCUGGCAACACUGCCUUACACCUUAACUCUCUUACUACACCACUACCAGCCUUCGAAGAUGGAGGUCUCGGUCGCUAUUACCGCCAAUGUGAAAUUCAUGCUGUUAUACCUUUCGAUUCAUGUUUUUAAAUGCAAAAUGGAUUUCACCUAUGGACAUUCAUCGUCGGUUAAUUGACGUUUAUGGGUAAAACUGCAUAUCUGUUCAACAUGUUCGCAAAUGGUGUAGAGAAUUCAGUGAAGGCCGAACGGAAAUUCACGAUGAAUCUGAAGGCCUUCCGCUCCGAUCUUUUGCUAAAUAACGUAAUAUGGACAUAGUGGCUAGGGAACAAACAGACAUAAGUUGCUCAUAAUAUAUGUUCAUUAAUAACGGACUAAACUGUAAUAAGUGAUUUAAGUCUGUUUCUGUUAGUUUUAAUCCACUGAUUUCUAUACAGGGUGAGCCACGCUCAACGGGAUGGAGCCUACCGGGAAAUGGCUAAAGAUAUUAAAAAUUCCUUCCGUAGGAAUACGUAGGUCAGUACCGGCUACAAAUUAAAAUUUGUGAAAUAUAUACAGGGUGUCCCAAUUUGGCGUAAUGAUAUAAAGUUAUAUAUUUUUAAAUGGAACAAUGGAACUCAUAUUUCACUUUAAUUUUGAAUUCUACUGAACAAAAUAAUGUUACUUUAUUCAACAUUCCCUAUACCUAUUGUUGACAGGUUUCGAUUUAUUUGGGUUUUUCUGAAAAUGUACUAUUCGCGAAAUUAAUUAAUUACACAUUAUCGCAUGAAUUUUAAUUACCGUCUUUUUGUCAGUUAAUUGUCAACUGUCCAUGCUUUACAUCAGAAUAAUUACCAUUUGAAACUAAUCUACAGAAUGUUCGCAAUCUGAAGUGUCAAUGUACAAUAUUUUAUAUAAUUACUUUCUUAACUUAAAUGGGACACCCUGUAUUUUACAUUAAUUUUGAAUUCUAAUCAAAAAAAUAAUAUUACUUUAUUAAACAAUCUGUAUACCUAUCUUUAUAAUACCAUAAAGUUAAACAAAACACACUGGAAAAAAUUAAUUUACAUUAAAUGUUCAAAAUGGUGUCCAUUUUCUUCAAUACAUAACCUCACUCUGUGUUCAAAAUUUUGUUUUACUUUUCUUAACAUUUCUGGAGUAACUGUUGCAAACGCAUUACGAAUACGCGUUUUCAUGUCUUCAGCGGUUGUAGGUGGAGUUUGAUAAACCAAACUUUUAAUAUAUCCCAAAAAAAGUCCAUUGAUGUUAACCCAGGUGAUCUAGGGGGCCAAUUGACAGCACCACCCCUACCUAUCCACUUUCCGGGAAAUUUUCUGUCUAAAUAUUCUCUAACAUUACGUGUGUAAUGUGUUGGAGCACCGUCUAGCUGCAGAAACAUUGUUCUUCUAAUAUUUAAAGGGAUAUUUUGCAAAAGUAUCCAAAAGUCUCUUCUGGUAGGGGAGCCCAAGCGGGGAUUUUUGCAGUUACUCGAGCGCGUCAGAUUAUCAUAUGGGGAGAAACCUGGUACCUUGCAGAUGUACCUCUACCAUAUAUUGGCUCUUAACACAGGGGAGUUCGUUAAGGGGAGCCCGAAAAAAAAAAUAUAUCCUUAAAAAAACUCGAAAUUGUCAGAUUAAGAUAAGGUAACUUAAGUACAUGCAAAAGAGUGUAUAUUUCAAAAAUCUGACGAUUUGAGCGUAAGGAAAUGGGCGAGUCCCAAAGUUUCACAAGAAAAAAGCGAAUAUUUCGCGAAAUGAAUCGAAAAACUAAAAAAUA